CACAGUCGUAGCAGCCAGUCGUCUAACGGUGAUCAUUCUCUGACUACAUUUUUACCUAUAGUGUUCAACUAUUUUACAAGUAUGGCUUCUUUAAAUGAAACAAACGUAACUACAAGCAAGAAUCAGUUAUACAAAUACGUUGCACCAGCUCCGCCAGCGGACCUUAUUGACUGCAAUAUCUACACUAUUAAACACAGUUUAUAAAUAUAGGCAUCGAUCAAACAGACUCGUUCGCCGUCAAAGUACAAAUAAUAACUCCGCCGCGAUACGUUAAUAUAACACCGGAUAUUCUAACAAGUAUAUUUUCACUUUUGGAAAAAAUCUUGUCUAUUAUAUUCGAC